CAAAUGGAAGAAUUCAUCUUCCACUUCAAAACCUUCAAGAUUAUUUAUAAAUGUCCCUAUUUUUCUCUUCUAAAAUCCUCUCAAAAUGCCUCUCUCUCUCCCUAAAUUCCAUAUUACCCAAAUACACUCAAAGAAACCACCAUAUAAUCUCUCAAAACUCAGCUCCAAAACCCUCCAAUAACAACCAUGGCAAGCCCAAAGAUUUCCAAGCAAAAACUCCAUGGAUUCUUGGUUUCUUCUCUUCCUUAGCCUUUGAUUUUCAUGGGUAAGGACCUCUUGGUCUUUACUGAAAUAAUAAUCUAAUUAAUAUGAAUUAUAUGUGUCGUAAUGAAUUCUAUGUUUGUGGUUUUAAUUUUGGGCUUUAGAAGAUAAAGUUCUUGAUGAGCACUAAUUGAAUUUCAGUUUCGUAGCAUCUGUUUGUAUUGCAUAUCUCAUUGGGUAAUCCCUAAGAUAAAAUUAUGAAAUUUCAUGGUAGUCUAGAUCUUUCAAUUAGCUUCAUGUUGAUAUAAAUUAUGCAUAAAUCGGAUUUAUAUUGAGUAAGUUAUGAACUAUUUUCUGAAACUGCACAGUAUUUGAGUCAUUUAUGAAUUAUGUGUUUAACAUGACUUUUUACUAGUUUGACUUGCUUGAUUUAAUUGUAUAUGAUUUUAAACUUGUUAAACGUCUUCUCUGCAAAAUUUCACAGUGUUUGGUUGAAGGUAUGAAUUAUUUGGUAAUUUUAAAGUUGAUUGCUCUGUUGGAAAUUUGACUGUGUGACUGCACUAAAUUAAUUAUUUCUCCUAAACGGUUAAGUGUCUUGCUAAACUGUUUAAAAAUGGUAGAAUAUACUUAUAGAUGAACAUCGUGUGAAGUGUUCAGGUGUUUUGGAUAUAGGUACUAAGAGAUAUGAAUUUUCAAAGUUGAAAUACCAAAACUGUCCGAUUUUCUAAAAUAAACUAUUUUGAACUAGAAAGUAUGUUUAGAAGUAUGGUUUUAAAUUCUUGAUCCUUAGUUAACAGAAGAAUUUAAAUUAUAUUAAAAUAAUAAAAUAUAAUAAGUUGAAUUAAUUAUAGUUAUGGUCAUGAAUUAUUCAUUUAAGUCAUUAUGUGUGUUUCGAUUGAUUUGGUAUGUUGGUUUGAGAAUCAUUAUGUGUGUGUCGUAUGUGUGUAAGUAUUGGAAACGAUUGAGAUUAAUUGGGGACUUAUUGGUUAAUUACAUUCGUUAAUGCUAAAUAGUAUAUACUAUAUGUCAUUCUUUAUAUGUAUGUUCAAUAUACGAAUAUAUAUAUAUUUAUAUAUCCUAGCCUGCGUGGUCGUAGGAAUAAUUCCCGAUCCAUGGCUUAUAUAUAUAUACUAUCUCUAUAGCAACCUACGUGGUCGUCGAGUAAAAACUCCGAUCCAUGGUUUAUGUAAAUAUAAAAUAUACUAUUAUAAAUAUAUGUGGGGGUGUGUACAACUAUAUGUGUGUGUGGAUGAACAAUAAUCUUUACGUGAUUCGUAUUUAUUGUGCUACGCUUGAUUGGAUAUCAUUGCCGUGUGUGUGUGUGUACAGUCGUGUAUAUAUUUGUGCCAUAUGUGUGAUUUAAUUGGUCUAUGUGAUAGUAUGUGGUUAGUAAAUCUUUGUGUUAUUUUAUUAUGACAUAUAUUUGUGUGUUAUUUGUGGUGAUUAAACGGUAAUAGCAUUUCGGUCUUAGCAUUCAUGUUCAUGCAUAGCACAUAUUUUUGAAAGUUUGGAAAAUUAAUGGAAUGCUUGAGUGAAUAAACGGGAUACGGUGGGCCGGUAUCCAUAUAUUGUUAAAGAGUGGUUUGAUCCCACUAAAGAAACGGGCUCGUAACAGUUUAUUGGCCAAGUAUGGAAAUUAAUUUUUCCGGAUCCGGUAACUGAAAAUGGAUUUGUUUUUUUUACGAUUUUUAGGGAAAACGAAAAUGUGUUUUACACGAUUUUUAUGGUAAACGAGAAAGGGAUUUUUUCAUGAUUUUAUGGUAAACGAAAACGAGUUUUUAAACUAUUUAUUUAAGGUCUCAAGUAUAUCACGUAUUCUCUUGAAAGUUUGAGAAAUUAACGAAAUACUUGGCAGAAUAAACAUCAGAUACGGUGGGCCGGUAUCCAAUAAAAGUUCAAAAGGAGUGGUUUGUUCCACAAUAGAAACGGGCUCGAAACGCUUUAUAGUUUAUAGCUAGGCACAAAAGUUAGUGCUUAGUGAAUAAAUGGGAUACGGUGGGCCGGUAUCCAACUAGGAUGAAAUACGUGGUUUAAACAGAACGGGCUCGAAACGCUUUAUAGUUUAUUGUUUGAGUACAUAAAUUAAUUUUCCACGAAUCUGCUAAAGUUAAAAAAAAAAUCAUUUUUCCAUGCAUUGCAUUCACAUGCAUUUUUGUUAUUUUGCAUAAUAAAGUGAAUUAUGUGGGUAUAGUGUGCUUUUAUGACCUAUGUGUAAUAAUGUGUUUUUGUGACCCGUGUGUUGUCGUAUAUUAUCUGAUUUUUAGAUUGUUACGUUGGGAUUCUGAUAAGGAUCCUGUUGCAUUGCAUUUAUAUGCGUAAAUUGUUAAAUUGAUACUAAAGGGACUUUAUGUCCGCGAGUAAUAUGAGGAUUUUAUAUCUGUAUAAUAUGAAAGAGGAUUGUGUGUCCAAUAUACCAAGAUUGAGGUAAACAAUAUUAUAUGUUUAUACGUAGAGCUAUAUGUUCGACUAUAUUUUAUGAUAAUAUUCAUGCUUCGUGGUUUUUAAUUUUGAAGAAUAGAAGUACUGUAUUUGUAUGUGAUGUUAUGUGCUUUCAAUUAUAUGAUCGAAUGUCUUGGUCUAAACGAAUAAAUUGAAUAUAGAGGACAUAGUUGAAGUUUUAGGAUUAUCCCUACACGAAAGAACAUAGAGACGAGGACUUUAGGGCUCCUAUAGGACGUGAGUGACACGUUGAGAGAGGCGUGAGUAUCGUCAGGCCAAUGUUCUUACUGAGCCAGUGGUUGGGCUCACGCUUUAUGCGAAUUUCCCCUUUUUAGGUUCUCGAAGUAAUCAGAGUGCGCAGCGGAGCGGAGUUCGAGGAAUCACGAACCUUGAGGCCUUGCACGUCUUACCCGGAUUUCGUAAAAGAUCCAUGUUUUCACUUUCGUCUACAAAAAGG
rnacentral:lncRNA from 1 species